GAAAAGUUAAAAGCAUUCACUUUUAAUAAAUUCCCAAAACAAAUCAAAUCAAAAUCCAGGUAUAUAGAAGAAAGAAAUGAGGACUGUAAUUAGUACAAGUCGUAACAGCAAUAGUGAAUCCCCAGUGCAAAUACUGGGUAAGCUUUAACUCAUUUAAUGAACAUUUAUUUAGUGUCUUGUAGUUUUGCUAGGUAACGUGAGGAACAGUAUUAAGAGGAAUACAGUUCAUUCUCUCAUGAAACUGACUUGCUCAGGAGAAAUAAACCCAUCACAUGGAACAUGAAACAUGAGAAACGAAGUACUGUUUACAUCUGAAACACUUGGGGAGCAAGUCAGCAGCAUACCUGAGGAGGAAGACAGAGAGAAUAUUCCAAAAGCCUGGCUACUGGAGGACUACUGGAAGAAGCUGAAAACUACAAGCUACUUUGGAUUGAAAGUGUUCAGUUUUUGACUGCAGAGACAUCACUUCAUCUAAGUUAAAGUAUUCCUUUUACCACUGGAGUAUAUAAUUCCAUAACUGGAAGGUAUUUGGAGGAUAAUUAUGCCAGCUAAUUAUUUAAUUAAUUGAAGAAUUUAUUCACUUAUACAUAGUAUUAAGUACUCUGUAUUAAUAUUGGACUUUAAGAAAUAAAAACAGACUAUUACAUCCCGUAGUGAUCUUAACUAUCAGUGAGGAGGCAGCAAGUUUAAAAAAAACACAAUAUAUUGUAAUAAUUCUAAUAAAAUGUACUAAUAGUUUUAUAGUCAACAGCUUAUUAUAUUCCGACAGUAUUCAGAUGCUUCUCAUGUACUAUCUCAGUUGACUUUAUGAAACUGUAACUAAUAUUAGCAGCACUUAUCAGAUAAGAAAUGUUAUUUAGAGAAAUAAACAAAUGUUCUAGUGACACAGAAAUUCUAGGGGACAGAGCACAUUUUGGAAUUUACGGUCCUGUCUGAAUACAGUGUCAGAGAUGCACAGAGUGACUAGAAACUCUUGUUAAGAGAAAAAAAGGACUAUGGAUUAAGAAUUAAUAUGAGACUGUUGUUUACUUUGCUUUUAUUGUAUUUUUUUUGUUCUUAAAAUAUCUACUUUAUUGAAUAGCAAAGAAGAUGUGAAACCUCUGAAAGGCAUCAGAACACAC
rnacentral:lncRNA from 1 species